rnacentral:rRNA from 1 species
CCUACGGGUGGGCAGCAGUGGGGAAUAUUGGACAAUGGGGGGAACCCUGAUCCAGCCAUGCCGCGUGUGUGAAGAAGGCCCUCGGGUUGUAAAGCACUUUCAGUGAGGAAGAACGCCUGGUGGUUAAUACCCAUCAGGAAAGACAUCACUCACAGAAGAAGCACCGGCUAACUCCGUGCCAGCAGCCGCGGUAAUACGGAGGGUGCGAGCGUUAAUCGGAAUUACUGGGCGUAAAGCGCGCGUAGGUGGCUUGAUAAGCCGGUUGUGAAAGCCCCGGGCUCAACCUGGGAACGGCAUCCGGAACUGUCAAGCUAGAGUGCAGGAGAGGAAGGUAGAAUUCCCGGUGUAGCGGUGAACUGCGUAGAGAUCGGGAGGAAUACCAGUGGCGAAGGCGGCCUUCUGGACUGACACUGACACUGAGGUGCGAAAGCGUGGGUAGCAAACAGGAUUAGAUACCCCUGUAGUC